rnacentral:misc_RNA from 1 species
GAUGAAGAACGUAGCGAAAUGCGAUAAGUAGUGUGAAUUGCAGAAUUCAGUGAAUCAUCGAAUCUUUGAACGCACAUUGCGCCCUUUGGUAUUCCUUAGGGCAAGCCUGUUCGAGCGUCAUUUCAACCCUCAAGCCCUGCUUGGUGUUGGGCGUUUGUCCUGCCUCCGCGCGGGACUCGCCUCAAAGACAUUGGCGGCCGGUUUCCCUUUGCAGGCCACGAGCGCAGCACAGCGAGCGCUCUACGUGGACGCGGGGUCGGCGCACCAGAAGCCCUCUUUCUCGAAUUUUGACCUCGGAUCAGGUAGGGAUACCCGCUGAACUUAAGCAUAUCAAUAAGCGGAGGA